rnacentral:rRNA from 1 species
GGGUUGUGAGGUUAAGCGACUAAGCGUACACGGUGGAUGCCCUGGCAGUCAGAGGCGAUGAAGGACGUGCUAAUCUGCGAUAAGCGUCGGUAAGGUGAUAUGAACCGUUAUAGCCGGCGAUUUCCGAAUGGGGAAACCCAGUGUGAUUCGUCACACUAUCAUUGCGUGAAUACAUAGCGUAAUGAAGCGAACCGGGGGAACUGAAACAUCUAAGUACCCCGAGGAAAAGAAAUCAACCGAGAUUCCCCCAGUAGCGGCGAGCGAACGGGGAGCAGCCCAGAACCUGAAUCAGUUUGUGUGUUAGUGGAAGCGUCUGGAAAGUCGCAGGGUACAGGGUGAUACUCCCGUACACUAAAAUGCACAUACUGUGAGUUCGAAGAGUAGGGCGGGACACGUGGUAUCCUGUCUGAAUAUGGGGGGGACCAUCCUCCAAGGCUAAAUACUCCUGACUGACCGAUAGUGAACCAGUACCGUGAGGGAAAGGCGAAAAGAACCCCGGCGAGGGGAGUGAAAAAGAACCUGAAACCGUGUACGUACAAGCAGUGGGAGCCUCUUUAAUGGGGUGACUGCGUACCUUUUGUAUAAUGGGUCAGCGACUUAUAUUCUGUAGCAAGGUUAACCGUAUAGGGGAGCCGCAGGGAAACCGAGUCUUAACUGGGCGUUAAGUUGCAGGGUAUAGACCCGAAACCCGGGUGAUCUAGCACAUGGGCAGGUUGAAGGUUGGGUAACACUAACUGGGAGGACCGAACCGACUAAUGUUGAAAAAUUUAGCGGAUGACUUGUGGCUGGGGGUGAAAGGCCAAUCAAACCGGGAGAUAGCUGGUUCUCCCCGAAAGCUAUUUAGGUAGCGCCUCGUGAACUCAUCUUCGGGGGUAGAGCACUGUUUUCGGCUAGGGGGCCAUCCCGGCUUACCAACCCGAUGCAAACUACGAAUACCGAAGAAUGUUAUCACGGGAGACACACGGCGGGUGCUAACGUCCGUCGUGAAGAGGGAAACAACCCAGACCGCCAGCUAAGGUCCCAAAGUCAUGGUUAAGUGGGAAACGAUGUGGGAAGGCACAGACAGCCAGGAUGUUGGCUUAGAAGCAGCCAUCAUUUAAAGAAAGCGUAAUAGCUCACUGGUCGAGUCGGCCUGCGCGGAAGAUGUAAACGGGGCUAAACCAUGCACCGAAGCUGCGGCAGCGACACUAUGUGUUGUUGGGUAGGGGAGCGUUCUGUAAGCCGUUGAAGGUGAACUGUGAGGUUUGCUGGAGGUAUCAGAAGUGCGAAUGCUGACAUAAGUAACGAUAAAGCGGGUGAAAAGCCCGCUCGCCGGAAGACCAAGGGUUCCUGUCCAACGUUAAUCGGGGCAGGGUGAGUCGACCCCCUAAGGCGAGGCCGAAAGGCGUAGUCGAUGGGAAACAGGUUAAUAUUCCUGUACUUGGUGUUACUGCGAAGGGGGGACGGAGAAGGCUAUGUUAGCCGGGCGACGGUUGUCCCGGUUUAAGCAUGUAGGCGGGAAGUUUAGGGUAAAUCCGGACUUCUGUUAACGCUGAGGUGUGAUGACGAGGCCACUACGGUGCUGAAGUAACAAAUGCCCUGCUUCCAGGAAAAGCCUCUAAGCAUCAGGUAACAUUAAAUCGUACCCCAAACCGACACAGGUGGUCAGGUAGAGAAUACCAAGGCGCUUGAGAGAACUCGGGUGAAGGAACUAGGCAAAAUGGUGCCGUAACUUCGGGAGAAGGCACGCUGUCGGUAAGUGAAACCCCUCGCGGGUGGAGCUGAAGGCAGUCGAAGAUACCAGCUGGCUGCAACUGUUUAUUAAAAACACAGCACUGUGCAAACACGAAAGUGGACGUAUACGGUGUGACGCCUGCCCGGUGCCGGAAGGUUAAUUGAUGGGGUUAUCCGUAAGGAGAAGCUCUUGAUCGAAGCCCCGGUAAACGGCGGCCGUAACUAUAACGGUCCUAAGGUAGCGAAAUUCCUUGUCGGGUAAGUUCCGACCUGCACGAAUGGCGUAAUGAUGGCCAGGCUGUCUCCACCCGAGACUCAGUGAAAUUGAAAUCGCUGUGAAGAUGCAGUGUACCCGCGGCAAGACGGAAAGACCCCGUGAACCUUUACUAUAGCUUGACACUGAACAUUGAGCCUUGAUGUGUAGGAUAGGUGGGAGGCUUUGAAGCGUGGACGCCAGUCUGCGUGGAGCCAACCUUGAAAUACCACCCUUUAAUGUUUGAUGUUCUAACGUAGACCCGUGAUCCGGGUUGCGGACAGUGUCUGGUGGGUAGUUUGACUGGGGCGGUCUCCUCCUAAAGCGUAACGGAGGAGCACGAAGGUUAGCUAAUCACGGUCGGACAUCGUGAGGUUAGUGCAAAGGCAUAAGCUAGCUUGACUGCGAGAGUGACGGCUCGAGCAGGUGCGAAAGCAGGUCUUAGUGAUCCGGUGGUUCUGAAUGGAAGGGCCAUCGCUCAACGGAUAAAAGGUACUCCGGGGAUAACAGGCUGAUACCGCCCAAGAGUUCAUAUCGACGGCGGUGUUUGGCACCUCGAUGUCGGCUCAUCACAUCCUGGGGCUGAAGUAGGUCCCAAGGGUAUGGCUGUUCGCCAUUUAAAGUGGUACGCGAGCUGGGUUUAGAACGUCGUGAGACAGUUCGGUCCCUAUCUGCCGUGGGCGCUGGAGAAUUGAGGGGGGCUGCUCCUAGUACGAGAGGACCGGAGUGGACGCAUCACUGGUGUUCGGGUUGUCAUGCCAAUGGCAUUGCCCGGUAGCUAAAUGCGGAAAAGAUAAGCGCUGAAAGCAUCUAAGCGCGAAACUUGCCCCGAGAUGAGUUCUCCCUGACUCCUUGAGAGUCCUGAAGGAACGUUGAAGACUACGACGUUGAUAGGCUGGGUGUGUAAGCGUAGCGAUACGUUGAGCUAACCAGUACUAAUGAUCCGUGAGGCUUAACCUUACAACACCGAAGGUGUUU